UGAGCAUUUUUAUUAUCUUGAAUUGGGAAGAAAAAUAUAGAAAUCAACGUACCAUAAAUCCACAAGCGAUCUUUUAGCCAGUUUGCUUGUAAUGGGCACAUUUAACUGCAAUUUUUGCGAUGAAAAGUGCGAGGCUGUGGACAAAAUGACCAAUCAACGACGAUUUAACAAGACCGCACGGCAGCGGUUGCGAGGAAUUAACCAAUAGCUGUAGAGCUAUUAUCAUGUUCACGAGGUCACGACCUCUGUACAACGUUGGAGACGAACAACACACAGACUCCGUCGUGGUGUGAGAAAAAAACAUGUCACAAAAAGUGUCUUUGUGCAUUUGUCUAGCAUUGAAACGAAAGCUUUUCCAUUUUCGGAAAAGAGUUGAAGACAUUUCUUUGCAUGUAUUUGAAGAAGGAAAAGAAUAAGAGUACGGUCAAGUGUGAAAAUGUCGUCAAAGAUGUGGCAAUCGCUAGCCCAAAUUACGGACACGUAAAACACGACGAUGGACAACUGUCACAGACGGAAGGUCAGUAAGAUCCUCCGAUCUCUAUCACAGACUUGUUCAGGUGAACUUUCAACUAAAAAGGUAUUCGACUGGUUAUAUUACUAGCAGAAUUUAUCGUAGGCGGCUGCGUCAAACGACUGAACAUGCCCACUAUACAUUCAAUUGAUGCUGGCUGAUGAGGACACUUUCAGAGUUGAGGAGCUUGUCCCCACAUGUUUAAUGACAACAUUGUGCUGAUGUUAACAUUGCCAGAUCGCAACCUCUUUUUAAUGGGACACUUGAUGAGCCAGCAUAGCAACGUCAACUGAGUAAGGAUACAGUGCUGUUGAAAAAGUUCAAGAUGUACAUGUACCAUCUCCCAACGUUAGUCGAGGCUGGAAGGUUUAAGAUGAAAAUGUGCCAACUGGACAAACCUACUCCAAGCGCUUGACAGCAUUCUAUAAUGUGUACAUGUACAUUGCUCAUGCAAAAGCGUAGAUGUGGUCGAGGCAAACUUUGUUCAGACAAAAGUCUACCGUGCAAAUACUUAAAUUGCAAGUGCACAAACUGUGAAAGUGUAAAAACUAAAGCUCUUAUUAAAAAUAGUGAUAAGUCUGAUAAAGAAUAUUUAUGGCAAAUAAUAAUUCAAAUUGAGAUAAUUAUGUAUCUUAAUGUAAACAGAUGAGUAAAGCUAUAGUAAAACUUUAAAACCACAAAUAAAUAAUGUCGGUCUCUAUUAUAAACUACUUACUUUCGAAGUUUACUGAUUUCUUUUUUUGAUACUUACAAAAUAUUCUUUGAAAUUAAAUGCAAAAGCAGAAGUGAAAAAGGGAAACUUUUCUUCACUUGAAAUAAAUUGUUCACUGAACAAAUUAUUACUAGAUGUGGAUUCUUCAUACUUAAUGAACAGAGUAUCAUGUUAGGGCAGAGAUUGUCCAUGCAGACAGAGGACAUGGAGUAUUUGUUAUUAUCAAAACAGGAUGGGAAAAGCCUGAAAAAGGGUGACCAUGACGGAAUAAAGCAAAAAUUUCAUAAAGAAGAAAAUGUUGUUUUGUGUUAACUUAUUAUAAGUAGGGAUAUUAAUUAAGAUAAAGUUGGCGGCCUAAGAUGUUCUGUCAUAGUAAACAUAAUAUAUCCAUAUUAAAACAUGGGGGAGAGAGGUAGUAGUUUUCCCUAGUAUGACCUGAACAACAAUUUUUUAAAUAUUUAGAUGGUCUCUAAAAUGUGUUGAAAGUAAAUCUAACUGUGUUUGGAACAACAAAAUUAUUGUUAAAAAAUAAUACUUCUCUGUUUAAGGAUAAAAUAUUUGUAUUUUUGAGUAGACAGCGUUAGAUCCACCCCAAAUGAACCAUUUUAUUGCAACUUUUGAGUAAUUUUUUGGGAUCAUAUUGGCGCGUGGAUUUCUAGACAACGCAAAAUCGCCCGAAAUAGGCAGUAGUGUAGUUUCAUAUGACCUUUGACCUUUGUUAUAUUGGUGGGCCAACAUGAUCCCAAUUAUUUUUCAAUUGAAAUCUGUU